GCCCGGCUAGCUCAGUCAGUUGGUAGAGCAUGAGACUUUUAAUCUCAGGGUCGUGGGUUCGAGCCCCACGUUGGGCG